AGGUGUCAAGGAAAAACGUGUGCAACCAAGUACGAGUGAGACCGUUGUGCAGGUGGAGGGGGAGGAGAUAGUGGUAAUCCACCCAAGUACUAUUCAUGUACAGGUUGAAAGCAGAAAAGAAGUUGUAGAUGAAGUGAGAGACAGCAAGAAGAGGAAAAGAUCAUUGACUGAGUUAGAAGAGGCUCAGUUAAACUUCUAUGAAGAAAACACUGCACUCUGCAGAAGUCAGAGGAAGGUUGCAGAGCAGCAAGUGAAAACCCUUGCUGUGCAAGAGGAGUUUUUUAAGUUAGCAACCAAGACACUGGCAGAAAAGAAUGACUUGUCCGGCAUCCUGGAUCUUUUUACAGAACAAUAACAGAGGACAGCAUAUAAAGGAGGAUGAACUUUCAUGUACACAGUUUAAAACUCAGAUAUUAUAAAGUAAGUCUUGUAGCACUUA
rnacentral:lncRNA from 1 species